UUAAUCUUACUAGUUAAGGGACCCGCGCAAUGCUGCCGGUAGUUAUUUUAAAAUAUAAUUUUAAAAAUUAGUUAUAAAAAUUAAUUUCAGAAUUUAAAUGGUGCAAUAAGUACAUCAAAAAAUUUUAGUAGGUAUAGUAGUCCCCCAUUAUAUAGUUAGUGAAAUAAUUUUAGUAGGUAUCGUAGGUCUCCAGUAGUUAGUGAAUGAGAAGAGAAAUUAUUAUUUAUGAUUCUCGCAAUUAAUUUUCAUCAAAUAAAAAAUUAACUUAAACAGCAUCAAUUUUUGUUAUUUGUUAAAGUACAAUUUAUAUGUGAAUGCUCAGUAUUACAAAAUUAAUAUUUAUAUUUAAUACCAGUAGUCUAAAUUAUUUAACAUUUAUUUAUAUAUUUUAUAUUUUAUAAAAAUAAGUAGUAAAUUAUAUAAUAAAUUAUUAUAUAAUAAUAUAUCUAUUUACAAAUAAAAUAUUAUAUAUAAUAAAUAAAUAAAUAUUUAUAAAUAAAAUUUUAUAUAUAUAGAAUGAGAGG
rnacentral:lncRNA from 1 species